rnacentral:rRNA from 1 species
CAGCAGCCGCGGGAAUACGGAGGGGGCUAGCGUUGUUCGGAAUUACUGGGCGUAAAGCGCACGUAGGCGGCUUGGUAAGUUAGAGGUGAAAGCCCGGAGCUCAACUCCGGAAUUGCCUUUAAGACUGCCGAGCUAGUAGGUGAGAGAGGUAAGUGGAAUUCCGAGUGUAGAGGUGAAAUCCGUAGAUAUUCGGAAGAACACCAGUGGCGAAGGCGGCUUACUGGCUCAUUCUAGACGCUGAGGUGCGAAAGCGUGGGGAGCAAACAGGAUUAGAUACCCCGGUAGUCCCUGUCUCUUAUAC